AGUGAACGCUGGCGGCAGGCCUAACACAUGCAAGUCGAGCGGCAGCGCGGGGGCAACCCUGGCGGCGAGCGGCGGACGGGUGAGGAAUUCGUCGGAAUCUGCCUUUUUGUGGGGGAUAACGUAGGGAAACUUACGCUAAUACCGCAUACGUCCUACGGGAGAAAGUGGGGGACCGCAAGGCCUCACGCAGAAAGAUGAGCCGACGACCGAUUAGCUAGUUGGUGGGGUAAAGGCCCACCAAGGCGACGAUCGGUAGCUGGUCUGAGAGGAUGAUCAGCCACACUGGGACUGAGACACGGCCCAGACUCCUACGGGAGGCAGCAGUGGGGAAUAUUGGACAGUGGGCGCAAGCCUGAUCCAGCCAUGCCGCGUGUGUGAAGAAGGCCUUCGGGUUGUAAAGCACUUUUGUCCGGAAAGAAAUCCCUGGAGCUAAUACCUUCGGGGGAUGACGGUACCGGAAGAAUAAGCACCGGCUAACUUCGU
rnacentral:rRNA from 1 species